rnacentral:sRNA from 1 species
AAAACCUUAAAAAACAAAAGCCCUACCUCUCUUUUAUCAUUACGGCUCCUUGGCCGUGCCACUUAUAAUAAGGUGCUAAGUGUUUAA